GCAGUGGUGGCUCAGUGGUUAAGAGUCUGGGUUAUCAGAAGGUCAGGGGUUCAAGCCCCAGUACUGCC